rnacentral:misc_RNA from 1 species
UUGUGUAUGUUAGAACAGGGACGUAGUAAAAUAUCGAUUUUUUAUGGACAGAAACAGUUACUAAUAAUAAGUUCGUAAAUUUCUUUGCUCGUUCUCCCAGACAUGAGUACUGAGAAAGUCGGUUAUUAUUUUAAUGAAGAUUGCCGUCUGUUCUUGUCGAAAUUUAAAGACAAGGGCUCCUUACAAUUUGACGCUUUCGCUGCUGUAUGGCAAGAAAUGAAGUUUUCUUUCGUCCUGACACAGUGGAAAUAUUUGGGUGAGGUGCAAGAGAUUGUGGAGGAAUACUUAAAAGUUUGCAAGAGGAUUUGGCUGAAGUCGGAAACAGUGGAGGAACGUGUUUGUGGUCUGUACUUACUGCGAGCAAUUUAUCUUAAACAACCUGCAGCACGGUACAUGAAGAUCAGCUUGUCGCACGAUGAUUGGCAGUGUCUGAAACAUUUUUUGUACUUAAUAAAGGAUUUUCAGCAAAAUGAAACUAGGUAUGUACUACAAGAAUUGUUCGAAUUGAACGCAUUUGUCUUCAGUGUACCCGACUGUACGCUGGCAGAAGGCAAAGAAGACGUUGGCUUCUUAGAGUCUCUGGGGACUCAGUUUACUAAAGUACAUACGCAAUACAGAGCGAUGUUCUCGGCGUUGGAGCAAGAAAAUAAGGAAUACAAUGAACAGAGAAGAGCGUGUCUGCGAGUUUAUCCGGAACUCAGUUCGUUCUCAAAUGCCGAAACUGAUAGUUUGGUUGAACAGCUUAUGGAAAGAUUGACGGUGUUCGAAGAUGAAGUCAGCAAAGUAGGGGUUGAUUUUAAUGAAGCGAAUGUGACUGUCAUUGAAGACGUGGAAAGGAGGACAUCGAUGAAAAGAAAGAGGAUUUCAUAUCGGGUGAAAGCGGUUGGUGAUUGCUGCGAAACUGAAGAAAGCAGUGAGAGUGGAGACGACAGCAAUAUUUUAGAUAUGCCACAACUUCAUUCCGAAGACAGCGAUGAAGGAGUGGAAGACGAAGAGACGUGUGACGUUCCUAUAGCCCGUCGCGUGGAUAAAGGUGACGUUCAUAUGAGCGACUUCGAGUUGUCUGUUACUUCAGAGGACGACGAAGGAUCGUCGAAAUGCACCACAGCUACAGGCAGCAGCAAGGAUGGCCCUGCCACUGCAGUGGGUCCGAAACCUGGGGCAGCCAGUAAACCGACGCCUCGGCCACCGGCCGCCCGGCGAGGCAGGCGAUUCGGCCGUCGCUCUGCACGGUAGCCGCCCACGGGGUAAGAGCAAUGGAUCUGCUCUACUGAUGGACAUAGCCAGCUGAUGUCAAGUCAUAGGCGAGUCUAUCUGAUACUUAUCGGGUUCUGUGCCUUUUGCUGAGAUGGCUGCCCGGCCUAUAGGGUAGCAAGUGAUGCUUCUACCGAGAUAGUUCAAUUGGAAGUGCAACAGAAUGACACUUUGGAUAUUCUGCACUGUACCAGUGCUGCCUCAUCCUCGGACGAUUCCGGAAUGAGUCGACUUCCGGCAGUUAUACAGAUUUCCAAUUCUGGUCUGCUCCCAGUGUUUAGUUCUGUGGUGUUACUGAACAGUAUAACUAGACUACAGUUGUGUGUUGAUGAUGUAAAGGAAUAAAAAUAACUGGAUGUAAUCUA